rnacentral:misc_RNA from 1 species
AGUAGGCUUUUUGAAAAUACUUAAGGUUUGAAGUUGCAUCUCUGUUGACUUUGUAAUCAUGGGGGCUAAUUUUGGUCAGUUAUAGAUUCACAUAUUCAAGAAUGGAGAUAGUCUUGGCAAUUACCCUUGUUAUCUAAAUGAAUUUAACUUGGUUAAAUUGAAGCUGUACAAGUUAAAAUAAGUCUUAGAUGGAAUUUCAUUUGACCUCAAGAUGUUGAGCUUCUUGACGCAGCGAAG